UUUUUCUCUCUUUUCCGGUUUUCUCCCAAAAGAUCACCUCCUUCAAUCAAGUAAACAACAAGAAUACCACCAUCAUCUCAAUUUUGUGAGUCUUUAAACAUGUGGCCUAUAAGCAUUCUCACUCAAUUGUAUCUUUCUUUUGUAUUGGCUGCUAUUCGUUUGGAUGAAGACACUGAUACAACUGGGGAUAUACACUAGUUCGGCCUCACAUAAUUGGUGGAUCCGAAGAAAGGCGCUAUUAAGAGUACUUUGGUUUUGGAGUUACUCGUGUGAGUUCAACAUUAAUUUUUGGUCUCGCUAGUCAUGUGGAUACACCUGAACGGUGACCUCUGAAAUUGUCACGUAAACUGUACCACUGCCGUUAAUUCAUCUUGUUACACAAUGAUACACAACGUCAUCUGGUGUAACUCGUUACUUCAAGGCUGGACUCGUGGUGAAUUCAGAGGGCUGAACACCUAGUUAUUGAAGGAGAUGGUGGUGUUUUAGGGAGGAAAGGGAAUAAAAAACUGGUUUUGGCUAAAAAAAAUGAAGGGUCUGCUCACGAUUCACGAAUGAAGAAGAAAUAGAAUAACGAGGUGUUUAGAGGGAAAGACAAGUGCCAACUUUUUAUUGGAUAAAGAUUUCCGUGUGAUUUUUGGGACUAUAGCACGGUUGAUUUGUCUAGAUUGGAGAGUUUUAAAAAGCCUGUACAAUUCAUAAAAUACACUUCUUAUUUUGUCUAUUUAGGUUAAUAUCCCUUUGGAUUCGAAUCAAACCACUACCACUAUCAGUUCUUCUUA